rnacentral:rRNA from 1 species
UCCCGCAACGAGCGCAACCCUUAUUACUAGUUGCCAGCAUUUAGUUGGGCACUCUAGUGAGACUGCCGGUGACAAACCGGAGGAAGGUGGGGACGACGUCAAAUCAUCAUGCCCCUUAUGACCUGGGCUACACACGUGCUACAAUGGAUGGUACAACGAGUCGCGAGACCGCGAGGUUUAGCUAAUCUCUUAAAACCAUUCUCAGUUCGGAUUGUAGGCUGCAACUCGCCUACAUGAAGCCGGAAUCGCUAGUAAUCGCGGAUCAGCAUGCCGCGGUGAAUACGUUCCCGGGCCUU